rnacentral:rRNA from 1 species
UACGGGGGGGGUAAGCGUUGUUCGGAAUUACUGGGCGUAAAGGGCUCGUAGGCGGCCAACUAAGUCAUACGUGAAAUCCCUCAGCUUAACUGGGGAACUGCGUGUGAUACUGGAUGGCUUGGAUUUGGGAGAGGGAUGCGGAAUUCCAGGUGUAGCGGUGAAAUGCGUAGAUAUCUGGAGGAACACCGGUGGCGAAGGCGGCGUUCUGGACUGUAACUGACACUGAGGAACGAAAGCCAGGGGAGCAAACGGG